rnacentral:lncRNA from 1 species
UGUGCACCACCCUCUCACCCAAACGAAGGCAGCUGGCCCUGAAGUUCUCUGAGCUUGAGGACAAAAAAAGACCUCUGUGAGUUGUCAGGCUCUGUUACAGUCUGGGUCAGCAGACAAGAGUCCCAGGGCUCGGCCGUCUUCUCUAGGAGAGAAAAUAUUCGUGCCAUAUAGCGUGUUCUAAGAGUUCUCACCAGAAGCCCAGAAAGUUCUGUAUUUACUCAGCAUUCAAGGGAAAACAGACCCUGUAUUUUUGGGAUUCCUGAAAGGUGACCAGGUGAGAGCAAAGCCCAACUUCCUGGGGAAAAGCUCUCAGCGCAGUGAAUGCUACAUUCGGAGGUAGGAAGGCUCUGGAUGUGAGUCUUCAUGUUUGUUUUUUGUUUUUUGUUUUUUUUUCUCUAAAAUUACCAAAAAAGAGGAAUAUCCACAGAAGCAGAAGUAGGAAUGGGGAAGGAGGGGACAAGUUUAGACCAAGCUCUUCUGUGACCUCACUUCUGCUUUUGAAGUCCCACAGCUCUAUAAGGCUCCCCAACUAAGGAGACAUUGACCUUGAGAUUUUGUAUAUAAACCACCAUGGAUCCCAGAG